AAGUGCCAAUGUCACCCUCUGCCUGGGAUUCCUGGCAUACAUCAGGCCUGGUUCUCCCGGUGCCACUCAGUGACUUCCUAGUCUCCUGCCUACUCCCAGCUAUCACCCUCCGAUUAAUGAUGAAAAAAAAAACAAAAACCAUAAUCAUCAUCUGUUUGGAGGAAAUGCAUCACUACCCUUUCCACAAGCAUUUUUUGCACACUUACUGUGUGCCAGACUAUGUGCUAGGUGAUGAAGAUAAAGGACAGAGUAAAAAGAUGAAAUAUAUGAAAAUAAACAAAUACAAUGCACCGUAGAAGACCUGUUACAGAAAAGAGUACUUAGAAUAUGUACUGCAGCAGCACAAAGGGGGAAGGGCAAUUCUGCCUGGAAUGAAAGGAGAGAAGAAAAGAAAAGAAGGACAUUUAUUCUGGGCAGAGGCACAGAAGUGCUAAAACAGCAUGGUGGCUGAAGAGAAAGGAGGGAGGAAUCAAUAAUGACACCCAGAUCUCUGGCUUAGAAUACCAACCAGGAUAAAGAACACAGGACACAGGAGUCCAAACAGGUUUGGCGUGAGACAAGAAAAGAAGCCCAAAGAUGAAGUGACCAGGCAAGUUCAAAUAUCGGAACUGGAGUCGGAACUGAAUUCUAAUUUUUGGACCUACAUUCUUUCUGAUUCCACACCACCUCUCUUGGAAACUAGGGAGCACCUAUUUGAAAACAUGCUUAAAGAUUCUUCAUAUGCCUAGUGUAUGCCUCAUGGUCAGCACUUCCAACUCCUUCGGCUACAUCUCCUGGCAUUCUUCUACCUGGACCCAACCCUUUGGUCAUACUGCACUACUAGCAGUGCUCCGAACAUUACACUUCCUCUCAUGCCUCUAUGCCUGUAUGUGUUUCAUUUCCUUUGCCUGGAAUGCCCACUUCUAGGCUAAUUCCUUUUCCUUUGAGGGUCAUCAUAAGGUAAUAACCCUAGCAAGUUAUCUGCUAUGGUUUGAACAUUUUUCCCCUCCAAAAUUCAUGUUUAAGCUUAAUCCCUAAUGUGGCAAUACUGAGAGGUGUGGCCUUUAAUAGUGACUCAGUCAUGAGGCCUCUGCCGCCUUGGGACUCUCCAGCAAGAAGGCUCUCACCAAAUGUGGCCCCUUGACACUGGAUUUCCCAGCUUCCAUAAGAAAUAAAUUCCUUUUAAAUUACCUAGUUUCAGGUAUUGUUAUAAGCAACAGAGAACAGAUUAAGGAAUCAUCCUAGUCUCUUCCAUCAUAAGCAAGCAGCCCAGGCAGGCAUUCCCAUAGGAUUCUGCUUUUCUCUAUCAGCAAUGAGCAUGUCACACUGUGAUCGUGCCUGCUUCUCUCCCUCAACUGUGAGCCACUUGAGGGCAGGGACUCUUAAACUGCUUUAUAUUCAUGGCCUCCCAGGAUAGCAUUAUCAUUAUUAUUUUCCAAAUUAAAAGAAAAUAAAUCCAAAGCAUAGAAAACAGCUAAAAUUCUGCAAAUCGUGCCACAGAUUACAGAGCAUGCUUUAAGAAUCCACAUUAAUCAAAAUAUGAAACUGAAGCCGGGCACGGUGGCUCACGCCUGUAAUCCUAACACUCUGGGAGGCUGAGGCGGGCA